GACGUAGGGCGCGAGCGUUGUCCGGAUUUAUUGGGCGUAAAGAGCUCGUAGGCGGCUCGUUGCGUCGGCUGUGAAAACCCGCAGCUCAACUGUGGGCUUGCAGCUGAUACGGGCGGGCUGGGAUUCGGUAGGGGAGACUGGAAUUCCUGGUGUAGCGGUGAAAUGCGCAGAUAUCAGGAGGAACACCGGUGGCGAAGGCGGUUCUCUGGGCAUGAUCUGACGCUGAGGAGCGAAAGUGUGGGGAGCGAACAGG
rnacentral:rRNA from 1 species